CGGCGAGUAUCAAGAGAGUUAUUACUCGGUGCAGACGACGGAAGGCGAGCAGAUCUCGCAGCUGAUCGCCGGCUACAUCGACAUCAUCCUCAAGAAGAAGCAAAGCAAGGACCGUUUCGGGCUGGAAGGGGAUGAGGAGUCGACGAUGCUGGAGGAGUCCGUCUCGCCGAAAAAGUCCACCAUCUUGCAGCAGCAGUUCAACCGGACCGGGAAAGUGGAACACGGGUCGGUGGCCCUGCCAGCCGUCAUGCGCUCGGGGUCCACGGGGCCGGAGCCCUUCAACGUGGGCAGCAUGCCUUCGCCACAGCAGCAGGUCACCGUGGGGCAGAUGCACCGUGGACACAUGCCCCC